AGAGGCUGUGGCCAAAAGCCACCAAAACAACACAAAUAAAUGUGGCAAAAAAAUGUAUGUUGACUGGUUUAUACUACUACCCUAACUUGCCUAAAGAGCUUUCUGGCAUUGGUAAGGGACGAUAAAAAAAACGUUUUAGGCAAGACCACUCUCCAGGAACUCUGGCCUUUGUCUUUGGCCUGGGGCGGACAAACGAUCUCGGAACGGACUCACUCAACUGGUUGAUACUUGCUGUCGCUCGCCUCCUCGUCUCUCCUGUUGCGUAGGCCUGGCCGCGCUUAGGGUCUCCGGUCCAAAAAAACUUGGCGAAAAGGUGGUCACCGUAGCUGCCUAUAUGCACAGCUGCAUUUCUGGGCCAACGGCCCAGUUGGAGGCCAAGGGCAUUACGAAGGGCACCAUUUUCGCUCAUUCCCCUGCGAGCGUAGGGCACCCGCCUACGCUCUCCCACUUUUUUUCACUCAAGGCAGUGGAUCCUGUGCUAGGCGUUGCCACCC